rnacentral:rRNA from 1 species
AGCUCCAGUAGCGUAUAUUAAAGUUGCUGCAGUUAAAAAGCUCGUAGUUGGAUUUCUGGUGUGAGGCGCCUGGCCCGCCGCUUCGAGCGUGUGAGUGCCGGUUGUGGCUCCGCCAUCCUUCUGGGGAGCGUGCCUACCCUUUGUUGGGCCGGGUACGGGACCCAGAUCGUUUACUUUGAGUAAAUUAGAGUGUUCAAAGCAGGCUCGCGCUAUGAAUACGACAGCAUGGAAUAAUGACUUAGGACUGCGGUCCUAUUUUGUUGGUUUCUAGGACUGAAGUAAUGAUUGAUAGGGAUAGUUGGGGGUGCUAGUAUUCAGCGGCCAGAGGUGAAAUUCUUGGAUUCGCUGAAGACUUACUAAUGCGAAAGCAUUCACCAAGGAUGUCUUCU